GUUGGCGUUGAAUCUUGCUAAGCUAAAGGGAUGGGAGUAAAAGAAGUGAUUUCAAGGCUUAUAUCAGAAGAUGGAAGCGGAUUUCUUCAUUUUGCUGCUCAAAGAGGAAGCUUAAACGUUUGCAAAUACUUGCUUGAGACGUUGAAAGUUUGCCAAGGACUAUUUUCGAGAUCUUUUAACUAUUGAUUUGGUAGGAUGUUCUAUGGAGAUGGUCGAUAAAGGAAUUAAAUUGUUCAAGAUUGAAGCAACCAUGGAGGGAAGGGAAUCAGUCUUGCGUUCUUUAAUUAAAGGACAUGCAAAAAGUGGGAACACUAUUGUUUUCACAGAUUCGCAAACAGAGGCUAAUCAAUUAGCUUCCGUAUUCAAGUGUGAGGCGCUAAAGGUGAUAAUCGACGAGACACACUUUUACUUUUCCAAGAUGGGGAAUUUGAUUUAUUAUUUGCCUCGGAUGAUGUUGCUCUUGGAAUUGACUUUCCUAGAGUUGAACUUGUUAUACGUUUGGAGCCGCCGAGAAAUUCGGAGAUCUUUGUUGCUAGAUCUAGUCUUGCGGGAAAUCAAGGGACUGCAAUUCUUAUCUAUUCUAAAAAAGAGACUACGCAAACCCAAGAGAUUCAGAGAAAAUUGUGGCGCAACAAUAUCAAGACUGUGCAUAUGGACUAAUCGAUAGAUUACCCAUUUUAAUGUUCAUUUUUUUUCAUCUUCAGCUGUCUAAGGCAGAUACAUAUGAUAGUUGGUGAAAGGGGAAAUAACAAGAUGACACUUGUUCAAAAAGUGAUAGGUCCAGGGGACGGGCUAGGUGGUAAAGGAGUAGUUCAUUUGGACCUGAAGCUUGUUCGUUCUUUUUUGACACCAAAACCUGGCCUGAGAGUUCUUUUUGGAUUUGGAGGCUGUUUCCUUGUUUACUUCUCUUUCUGGUUUUUGCGCUGCCAUAGUGGGGGAGAGAACUGAGUCAGGAAAAAUCAGGAUUAACUUGAAUCCAUUUUGCAUAAUUUAUUAUUUACACCUUUAGAUACAAUGUAAAGAAAUAUUUGACAUUUGCCCUCAUGUUGAGGCUAGCAGACCCAUUUUUGAUGGAAAGGAAAAAUAUCACAAAUCAAGUAAUAGUACACUGAUGAUAGUUUAUGCUUCA